rnacentral:tRNA from 2 species
GCCGGGAUGGUAUAAUCGGUUGAGGCGUCUCCUUUGUCAGGAGAGGGUUGUGGGUGCGAUCCCGGCUCCCGGCG